GUUAGAUGUUAAGUGUCUUAUCUUGAUGUACUUCCUCCAAGGUGUGAUGUCAUCAUUGUCUUUGUGUUUGUGUGUAGCUCCGGAUGGAGACGCCAUCUUGCUACACAAGGGUCUUAGUCGAUGGGAGGGGGUGCUCUAGCAGCCAUUUUGAGUAAUAAAUGAGCACAGGUAUACAUAGUAAAUAGACAUUUUACACACAUUAAUUUCUAUCCAUCACAAUGUCACCGCUGACAAAAAAACACGUCUCUCCCUG